rnacentral:lncRNA from 1 species
AUGUGGAGAUGUGGGUUUUGAGCCUUCACUUCAACUUCUAGCUCCCAUGUGGUUUCUUUAGUUGAAUGAUGCUGCUAUAAUAGCUUUAUUAAGGAGAUGACCUUGGACCGUAAUAUCUUUUCUUUACGACCCACUAUCUGCAUAAGAAGCUUAAUGUAGGAUAAGUUGUCCUGAAGUGUAAGGGGUUCAUAUCGGAAUACAUGCGAUGGAUCUAGGUGAUAUUUCUUUAGCACUUACGCAU